rnacentral:rRNA from 1 species
UACGUAGGGACCAAGCGUUGUUCGGAUUUACUGGGCGUAAAGGGCGCGUAGGCGGCGCAGUAAGUCACUUGUGAAAUCUCUGAGCUUAACUCAGAACGGCCAAGUGAUACUGCAGUGCUAGAGUGUGGAAGGGGCAAUCGGAAUUCUUGGUGUAGCGGUGAAAUGCGUAGAUAUCAAGAGGAACACCUGAGGUGAAGACGGGUUGCUGGGCCAACACUGACGCUGAGGCGCGAAAGCCAGGGGAGCAAACGGG